rnacentral:rRNA from 1 species
UCGCGUUUUCGGAGCGGCCGAUAUCGGAUUAGCUAGUAGGUGAGGUAAAGGCUCACCUAGGCGACGAUCCGUAGCUGGUCUGAGAGGACGACCAGCCACACUGGAACUGAGACACGGUCCAGACUCCUACGGGAGGCAGCAGUGGGGAAUUUUGGACAAUGGGCGAAAGCCUGAUCCAGCCAUGCCGCGUGAGUGAAGAAGGCCUUCGGGUUGUAAAGCUCUUUCAGCCGGGAAGAAAACGCAUGGGUUAAUAACCUGUGUGGAUGACGGUACCGGAAGAAGAAGCACCGGCUAACUACGUGCCAGCAGCCGCGGUAAUACGUAGGGUGCGAGCGUUAAUCGGAAUUACUGGGCGUAAAGCGUGCGCAGGCGGUUUUGUAAGACAGAUGUGAAAUCCCCGGGCUUAACCAGGGAACUGCAUUUGUGACUGCAAGGCUAGAGUACGGCAGAGGGGGGUAGAAUUCCGCGUGUAGCAGUGAAAUGCGUAGAUAUGUGGAGGAAUACCGAUGGCGAAGGCAGCCCCCUGGGUCGAUACUGACGCUCAUGCACGAAAGCGUGGGGAGCAAACAGGAUUAGAUACCCUGGUAGUCCACGCCCUAAACGAUGUCAACUAGGUGUUGGGGGAGGAGACUUCCUUA